ensembl:lncRNA
AAAAGAACCAAAUCAGUCUGUAAGUUGCUACAGAUUGUUGCUAUGAAUUAUCCCAAAGCCUUUGUGCCAGCAUAUUGAUUGCCUUAAAGUCAAGUGAGAAUAGAUGCACAGCUUAGAAGAGCCAUAAAAAACCCUCUACAGGAGCAAAGAGAUUAUUCAUCCAUACCAUUUAAAAAUGUAGCUUGUAGGUACACGAGUAUGAUUAGCGAAUAAGUGCAGCUCUGACAACUUCAAAAUUGUGACACAUGCAGCCAACUCUCUGCCAAUUCCUUAAAUAAGUUGAUUGCCUAGAAGGAAGCUUUUCUGAUUAGUAAUAGAAGAUACAGGUCAUCACCUUCAUUCUGCAAUGGAGCUCCAGCAUCUAAUGUAUGUAGAGACACUCACCUGUAGACGUGGUAACCUGGAAUUGUCUCCCACCUCCAAUUUCUCCCUCUUGUCAGGGGAGCUACAGGAACACUAAGGGAUGGUCCAUCCCAACCUGUUACUAGGAGAAGCUGAGUGAGUCACUGCCUGCAGGUUCCCGUGUCUGUGUACUCACUGGAGAAGACAUCCAGAAUGCCAGUUUACCCUGGAUACCAGCUACUACAGGGACGGAAUCAGACGACAUCGAUCCUCUCCCUGUGAUUCCCUUCAGCAAAUAUCCCAGCAAAGGCUGCAGCCAGCACCGCUGGUUUCAGAGGAAAGGACAAAGACAUUUGCUCAAAGGAAGGUUCCUACCUGUCAGUGUUUGGGGAGGAAGUGUACAGCUUGCAUGAAGAUUACGUUGGAGCCCUUCAAAAGAAGUGGACAGAGCUCCCAAACCUCAGAGGUACAGAGACAACCAACUUUUGAAGAGUCCUUGAAGAGUCACACCAGACAUGUCUAUACAGAGCAACAAGCAGAGUUUGGGAUGGUUCUGGAACCAAUCCCAAGUCCUCUAAUAGCUGAACAAGUGCACAACUCAUCCCAUUUGGCUUCUCAUAGAAGUGGCCCCUUCCCUGGAACUGCCCAAGGAUCGAUUCUCAGGAGUUUGCAGAUCUCAGCCUCAGUAACAGGAUCCCAUCUCUGGAUAAAGAACAAGAAACCACUGAAGAGUGGAGAAGCCAGACCUCCUGUAGUAUGCAGUGGCCCAUCUUCAGCAGAGUAUAGUCCCAUGAAGAUUUUAGAUCACACUGGUGGAAAAACAUCCCUGGAGAAUAAGAACUGUGGUACCUCUCUCAGGCAGAUGAAAGUCUUGGUCCCAGACUUGCUUCAUUUUCACAAGAGUUCUAGCCAGAAGAGACAAAAUUCAGCUGCAGAUGCUUCUUCCUCUUCCUUCUUGGUCAGCCAUGCUCCCUCACACAACAUGGGCUUUGUGGCCCAGUUUUUGACCUGGAGAAAGGAACGGAGAAAGAACUGUGCCAACAGCCAUUAGUGAUGGAUCUGACAUGCAGUCUUAGAACCUGUGAAGAUCAAGGUUUGGAAAUUGUUCCUGGAAACAAAGAUCUGCAUGUGGGUUGGAAUAAUUAAAGGCAACAGCUCAGGCUGAGGAGUGCCUGACUAGGAAUCAUCCUUGCAGAACAGACUUGGGGUGCUGAGGUACAAGGAGUUGAACAUGACUUUUGCCAACAAGUUUUAUAAUGAGAAAUGUUAACUGCACAAAGGGCUGCGUUGGCAAAACAGCUGAGCAUCUGAGCAAGUGGGUUUCCCCCUCUGCUUUUCGUGUGUAAGGAGAACACAUCCAGACUACUGAGUUCAGUUUGGAUUUCACAGAAUAAAAAAGUCAUCAAUGAGCUAAAGCA